rnacentral:lncRNA from 1 species
GCAUAUUACUUGCACCUGAUCGUGGUUCGAGUUCCUUUUGCAAUACUUAGACUUAAUGCAAAUGGACCCGUUAGAGCACUUUGUCUACUUCGUAUUGGGCAAAGCUCUAGUCUGGGCCACGGACAUUUUCGGGGAGCACCGAUCGGGCAAGAAGCUUUUGACGCGUGAUUCUUUACGUGCUGCCUUUUUGUUGCAAUAUGGCGAUACGCAACGCAACAUGGCUAUGGCCGCUCGCGAUAGGUUGCAUGCGAACGAACACGCCAUGAAAGCAACUGAAACAGUGCCCGAAUAUACUCAACGUUUUCACGAUAUAAUUCGUGAAGCGAAAGAUAUGAACCCUAGCGAUCAAAUCGGCUGGUACGUUAAGGGGUUACUACCACCUUUGCGCAGCCGGUGUGCGACAAGCGAAGAGGGCAAAGAUUGGGACAGCUUAGAUAAGCUAAUCCUUUACGCUGUUGGGCAAGAGGUUCGGUGGCAGUCGGGCAAAGACAAGCCUACCGUCCAUGCAGUUAGCGCUGACCUUAAUGCGAUCACUGCUAAAAAGCCCUUCAAUAAAUUUAAGCGUUCGUCCUCUGAUCGCAAUUCGCAGGGUUGGCAACCCGCCAAUCGGCCCAAGAAGGCGCGUCUGGAGCAAGAACAGCUGGCGGCACACACUUGCCGCAAAUGCCGUCGCGUGAAGCCCGCCCACCAGAGCUGGGCGGAGCACAAGCCCGACUGCAUUCGACACCUCAAGGCUAACGCCGAGAAGACGCUGUCCCUUGCCGCGAAGAUGGAGAAUGCCAUGGCUGAUUAGCGGGUCGGCAAGCGUGUUGUUGGGGGCUGUGAGCAACCGGAAUGUCCUAAGGACUCCGC